AACGCACGAGACCUGCGGACCUGCGGAAGGAUCAUUACCGAGUUCUCGCCCCUCGCGGGGUAGACCUCCCACCCACUGUGAUCACUACCGUCGUUGCUUUGGCGGGCCGCUGGGCCCAGCCCACCGCCGGCUCCGGCUGGCGCGUGCCCGCCAGAGGCCCUACAAACGCUGGAUAUCAGUGCCGUCUGAGUACACAUGUUAAUCGUUAAAACUUUCAGCAACGGAUCUCUAGAUCGGAAG
rnacentral:misc_RNA from 1 species